AGGUACUUCUGACGGAUUCAACCGUUGCUCGUAACAAGUGAGCGGCGUGCAGGUCGUGGUGGUCGUCCUCGCAGUGGUGCUGGUGACGGCCGUGGUGUCGUGCGUCCUGGGAAACUCUAAGAUGGGCGCACGACUUUGGUCCGAGCGACGGUCCUCCCGUGCUGCCCAUCCCACCUCCGCCUCCCCCCACGCCCACACCGCCGUCACGCCUACCGCCUUCACACACUCGG